UGCAUGAAACCUAAUAAACCAAACCCUAGAUCGAUAUGAUCGCAUGCUAGGAACCCGUAGAUAACCCAACAGUCAUUGUCUUCACAACUGAUGAAUUUGAAGACAGAUUAUAAUCUUCCAGAGAGAUGCAUAGACGGAUUCAGUCAAAUGUUUAAACGCUAUCUCCCACAAGGUAAUACUUACCUUACUGCACCUGAUUCUUAUUACGAUACAAAGAGUUUAAUGCGAACCUUGGGUCUACCGUACAAGAAAAUUGAUGUUUGCGAAGAUAACUGCAUGAUUUUUUUGGAAAAAUGAUGCGAAUUUGAUGCAAUGUCGUUUUUCCGGAAAAGAUAGAUAUAAACCACGACAAAAAUCUUCGAAGAAAAGCAAGUUAAUUCCGUUAAAAAGAAUGUUUUAUAUGCCAAUAACGGAUCGUUUGAAAAGGUUAUAUCAAUCCGAAAAGACUGCAUCUCAUAUGCGGUGGCACGCAGAACAUUCUAAUACAGAAGGAGAUAUGCAUCAUCCGUCUGAUGGACUAGCAUGGAAACAUUUCCAACAUGUAUCUCCAGAUUUUGCUAGAGAACAUAGAAACGUCUACCCUGCAUUAUGUACAGAUGGGUUCAAUCCAUUUGGAAUGUCUAGUCCAAACUACUCUUUGUGGCUGGUGAUUCUUACACCGUAUAAUUUACCGCCUCAAUUGUGCAUGAGUAGAGAGUUUCUGUUUCCAUCUAUAUUGGUUUCGGGACCCAAUCAUCCUAGAAAAAGUCUCGAUGUAUUUCUUCAACCAUUGAUACAAGAGUUGAAUGAGUUGUGGAGUAAUGGGGUCGAGGCAUAUGAUGUCUCAGUUAUGCAAAAUUUUUUACUUCCGCCGUACUUAUGUGGACCAUAAGUGAUUUUCCAUCAUACUCAAUGUUGUCAAGUUGGACAACUCAUGGGCGGUUAGCGUGUCCUUAUUGCAUGGAAGACAUUGAUUCGUUUUGGUUGCAGAAUGGUAGAAAAAUGAGUUAGUUUGAUUGUCAUCGUCGGUUUCUACCAAUAUCUCAUGCAUUACGGCAUAACAAGAAGAAUUUUCGUAAGAAUAAAGUAGUGACUCAAACUGCCCCACUUGAGCUUACUGGAGAUGAGAUAUUGUUCGAACGUAUCGAAGAUUGUAUAAAGUCAUAUGGUUUAGCAACUACUGCAGAUGUCGGGGGAAAUGAUCAUUUGCAGAUCGAAGGAUACGGUGAAUAUCAUCAUUGGCAUAAGAAAAGUAUUUUUUGGGAUUUGCCUUAUUGUAAAUAUCACAAGUUGCAACGCAAUCUUGAUGUCAUGCAUAUCGAAAAAAAAUUUUUCGAUAACAUCAUCAAUACAUUGUUGAAUGUCUCAUCGAGAUCAAAGGAUAACGUGAACUCCAGAAAGGAUCUUAAGUUAAUUUGUUUGAGGAAAGAGUUAGAGUUAACAUCAAAUGGAAAAGCCCCAAUCCCUAUUUUUCGGGUUUUUGGAGAAGGACAAAAGAAUUUUUUCACGUGGUUAAAAGAAGAUGUAAAAUUUCCAGAUGGAUAUUCUUCUAACCUAUCUCAAUGUGUUGACAUCGAAGGAAAAAAAUUGAUGGGUAUGAAGAGUCAUGAUUGUCAUGUAUUCAUGCAACGAUUGCUUCCUAUUGUAUUUGUAGAGUUACUUCCAGAAAAUAUACAUGAAGCAUUGUCAUGUAUUUUAUUUAUAUAAUGGAUGGAAAUAUAUUUUUAAAUUUCAAAUAAAUCUACAAUCAUAUAUGUUUAUCUGAUGUUUGAAUGUAGGGAUCAGUAUAUUUUUUCGUGAUCUUUGUGCUCGGACAUUAAAAAUUGAAUGUAGGGAUCAGUAUAUUUUAGGUUUGACGUAACGAAUGUGUUGUUGGAGACGAUCAAGAAGAUCAUUUUUGCGAACUUUAAGGGACCGUGGUUGAGUUUCACUCGUUGUCCUCAAGCUGUAUGAGAUCAGUGGUUUGCAGCAUUUGCGCUAAAUUACGUUUUUUUAAGUUAGAUAUAUAUUAGUUAUUUUGUAUUUGUUUUAAUGAUCUUACAAUAUCAAUGUGUUAACAAUCAUAUUACUGGGAUGAGUCGGUCCGCGACAUUGUCUACGCAACUUGGAAAGACGUCGUGACCAAUCGACUCAAAGAUUCCAUCUAUCGACUUAAGCAAAGCCGGCAACAGCCAGAAUGGAUGACUUCAAGGGUUUGGAACAUGAUGGUAGAAAUUUGGGAUUCGGACGACACAAUGUGGACGGAUAGCUUCGAGCAAUAGGAAGGCUCGAGCUGCAUCGGAUCGGGCGCCUCCAACACAUACUGCGGACGCGGAAGGAAGGUGUUGAACCUUCCGUUUUGCGUGUGUUUCGGGAAACGCACUGUCGUUCUGAUGGUACAUAUAUCGGCGAUCGAGCACAGAAAAUCGAUGAGGCGGUUAAUUCGAAGAUCAGUGAUCAUCUAUCUCAACUUGCUAAGAGUUCGGGAUCAACACAAUUGACUCCUCAAGAGAUCAACAAUCUUUUUUUAGAGGUCGUUCAACCCGAUGUUCGCGGUCGUAUCUAUGGUGUUGGAUCAAUGGCGAGUCAUUUAGGCGGCGGGGAUCCGAAUCCAGCAUCUGUCACCCGCAAUGUGGCACUGACGAAAGAAGUGGAAGAGCUUCGACGUAACCAAGCGGAUAUGCAAGCCAAAAUUGUCGUUUUGAGGAGAUGCUUCAGAGAUUCAUGCCGCCGGACGAGAAUUCUAUAGUUGCAUCGGCACAAUGCUCGGGUCAGGGAGGAUCCGAAGAAAUGGUUCAACAAUCUCCUCAACCUAACGAACCUAACGAUCAUGGUAUAUAGAUCAAGAAUUUCCCGACAUUUUGUUUUAGUUGUUUUAUUUUAUGUUUGAAUUUUUAAUGUUAAAUAAAAACUUAUUUUAAUUUU